rnacentral:rRNA from 1 species
UGAGGAAUAUUGGUCAAUGGGCGGGAGCCUGAACCAGCCAAGCCGCGUGAGGGAAGAAGGCCCUAUGGGUCGUAAACCUCUUUUGUCAGGGAACAAAAGCGAGUAUGUAUACUGGUCUGAGUGUACCUGAAGAAAAAGCAUCGGCUAACUCCGUGCCAGCAGCCGCGGUAAUACGGAGGAUGCGAGCGUUAUCCGGAUUUAUUGGGUUUAAAGGGUGCGUAGGCGGCGGUGCAAGUCAGCGGUAAAAGCCCGGGGGCUCAACCCCGCGGAGCCGUUGAAACUGCAGUGCUAGAGAAGGCGAGAGGUACGCGGAAUGCGCAGUGUAGCGGUGAAAAUGCUUAGAUAUUGCGCAGAACUCCGAUUGCGAAGGCAGCGUACUGGCGCCUGACUGACGCUGAGGCACGAAAGCGUGGGGAUCGAACAGGAUUAGAUACC